rfam:Lepisosteus oculatus linkage group LG9, whole genome shotgun sequence.
GCCAGCAGCCAUAAAACCCUGCAGCUCACAACUAGCAACCCACUGAAGCUCAGCAGGUGUGAGCUUGGUCAGUACCUGGAUGGGAGACCCCCUGGGAAAAACUAAGGCUGCUGCUGGAA